GCCAGCUGUCCUACAUCCCUGGGGAAGAGAAGAAGGAAGGUAGCUCUAGCUUUCCUUAAGAAAUAAGGGACAUGGCAAAAAGGUCUCACUGACAAGGCGUGAGUUAAGAAAAGCUCUGAUAAGUAUUGCUCUGCUGAAGAAUACGGUACAUGAAAUGGUGGCAGCUCUGCAAUAGGCAAACUUCAGGUUUUUCCCCGAAGCCAUUGCCUAGUUUGAAAUUCUGCCGUGGUUUGGUGGAUACCGGUCUCACUUACGCUUAGAUGAAAGAACAAAACCUUUCCUGACAGUUGCACAUAAAUAGGUGUAAUGAACAAUGAAAUCAUCAGUUAACAGAGCAGACAGCAAACAUUGCUGGAGGGUUUUAGGGUGGUGAUAAGAGCCCAUAUGAACAACCUAAACUGGUGGAAUAUGGAGUGGAUGAUAACUAAAUAACUUGUAUAAAUCAAGUCUAAUUGCAAUCACAAUCAUUGGGUUCUAUUCCUUCUUCUGGUGCCCAUCAUCCACCUGAACUGGAAGUUCUUACAGAGUCUUGUAUAUCCGUGUGUGUCUCGCUGGCUUCAAACUCAGGUGCAAAUUGUUCCAGCAAUACUGCUCUGGUACAUCUGAGGCAACGCUAUCCAUAAGACUGACAGCGAAAGCUCUUAUCUUGUGAGAUGUCCUUUUCCAAUGGUCACUGACCAAUAGCCAACCUAUUAAUCAUGGUAAACCAAGCUUGUUGGGUCCGUGCUGGCCAAAGCACUUGAGAGAAGACAAAAGGCAUCGUGUUCCAGCUGGCACCUGCAAGUAAUUACACAUGGCGAUAGAGGUACGCAAAAGAACAUUUUGAGAACUGAUGCUAAGAAGAAAGGUGCAUUUCUUUUUGGAACAGACUGAACUAUUUUCUGAUCUCUAGGUGCCUUAGGGUCUUAGAAAUCAAAGUAAAUAAAAUCACUUGCCAGAUGUUCAUCUGGAAAAGUGACAGAUCUUAAGUUACUUUUCACCAGUUCUGGAAGCUGAUUCCACUUCCCACGCGAUACCAUAUUUUAUAAAGCUAUUUUAUCAGCAGUGGUGCAGGGCAAAUGCUCCAAAAUCAUAAGAAAACUGAAUAUGGGGGCCCACCUUUUUUCCCAAAGCAUUUUAUCUACCUGCCACCACAUCUUUCUGUCUGUCUCCGAUGUCUGAGGAUAUCAGGACAGAUACGAUGCCUAGUAAAAACCAGACAUAGUUUUAGGAGAAUCUAAAAUGUGGUGGCUGCCUCUUUCCUGAAAACAUCCUGAAGAAAGGAAGGAAGAAGAUAAGAUGACUCCUCUGGACAGUACCAGGCAGACACAGCCAGAGUUUCACCGCUGGAAGAUAAACUAUCCCCAUCAGACCACUUUCCAUUGAAAGAAAGGAAGAAGACCAAUUUAUGAUCACAGCUUGAGAAAUAAGUCUCCUUCAUAUCAUAACACCUCAUCCUGGACCUGACAGUUGUUUCAAAGAUAAAGAAAUCCCUCAGACUGCGCCUCUCCCAGCAAAUCAUUUCAGCUUGUGUUUCGUUUUAACUUUCUGAGUAGAUCAGUGGGACAAUUUCCUGCGUAGAGUUAAUUGCCAGCACCACUGCAAGCUCAAAAGGGCAGGUCAGCAGCCACUGGAUUGAUCUCUGCCUUAGUGCCUGAGACCAUCUAGCUGUCCAGGCUCUGCCGUCAGUGACAUUUCUGUGCCCUCCCAACUUUUGGCAUCUGAGUUACCAUUUAAUAAUGCUGCCCAAUGUCAUUUUUUGCUUUGGCGUUUUAUUGAAUUACCAGUAUCUCUGGGCACCUCCAUCUGUAAAAUUGGUAGAAACAACUGACACCUGGUAGUUACGUUUCAUGGGCUAACAAGUUUAAGAGCAGAAAGGGUCGUUCCAAGCUUUUACUCUGACCUCCUACACAGAAUCAGCCUGUGCUUUUUGAUUUUAUAGCAUUUAGAUGCCAGUUUUCAUCUCACACAGCAGGUAUUUAGGCAAAGUUGAGCUGUGCAUAGUCUGAAUUUAGACAGAAGGCCCCCAAGAAGAUGCUACAGCUGAAGGAAAUCAGAUGAAGCCUCUGCUUCUCUCCCUUCUGCAAUACACUCAGCUAGGACCAGAUGCACGGUGUGGUGGUAUCGUAGAGCCUCCAAAUGUUUUAUGAUUGACUGUGGUUUUGUCAGUUCUUGAGCUUUUCAGAGGAAGGAGAGAGGACUCUGUUUGUAGAAAGCGAAGGAUGCAUAGGAUACAUGUCUGGGAACUGCUGAGGCAGGUAUGUAAGGUCAUAGAGACAAGAAGCUGUGUGAGCAGCCAGACAAGUAACUAUCAGCAUUUUCUCAUGGGAAUCGAUUGCUGAGGCAGUACUGCUUCAGAGAAAGAGGUCUGGGGUGAAUUUUCAGCCUAGCAUUCUGUCUGUGACCUGCUCUGAUGCAGGACUAUCUUAUUCACACUGCAAAUAAAAGAGAAUUCCAGGCAGGAGAUUCCCUGAGCUGCGAUCACUGCUUCUCCUUCACUGGAGAGCAGAGGCACCAGGCUCCAGGAGCCAGCUGCUUCCAGCCAGCAGGCAGCAAGGGGCAACCCAUCUGCAGCGUGGGGCUGCCUCUCAGUGCUUUCCCAUAGCUCCACAUCCGUGUAGAAACCCAGUCCUUACCUUUUGAAAUCAUUUGUUAUUACAGAUACAUAAACGUAUUAUACUUGCACACCUGGCCUGUGUCUGUAGAGCCCAUGAAAUGUGUUAGACUUGUUAUUACUUGAUUAGUCCUUUGCACAGCUGUACGUUCCUGCUCCCAAACACUUAAGAAACAUUUCUGUUGAUGUGCACAGGCUCACAGCUUUGAAGCCUAGAGAAAGUCCCUCGAUGUACUACAAAUCACUAUGUGCUGUUGUGCCAGCAUUAAAUGUAUUAACUUGUGCUUGG
rnacentral:lncRNA from 7 species